GAUUUUGGUUUAGGGAGUUUUUGAUCACGUGUGUAAAAAAUGGCGAGCGGUAAAUUGUUGAAAUUGCCACAAAAUGUUUACAAACCUCAGCUUAAUAAUGUAAUGCAAGAUGAGAAAGUGAAGAAAAAUAUCGAAAACGUUUUUCAACGAAAGAAUAAAAAUAUAGAUUCCGGAACCCAGGACAUAAUUGAUUGUUCUUCUUUCCCGUUCCCUUAUUGUGUCAUAAAGGACUUUCUUUGUUUGCCAACAAACAAUGGUAGAUGUAUAGAAUAGAACUUCCCUAACCCUCUA